rnacentral:rRNA from 1 species
AUUGAACGCUGGCGGCAGGCCUAACACAUGCAAGUCGAGCGAGCGGCGGACGGGUGUGUAAUGUAUGGGGCCUGCCCGAUAGAGGGGGAUAACUACUGGAAACGGUGGAUAAUACCGCAUACUCUCGGAUAACCCAUAUGGGAUUAGCUAGUAGGUGGGGUAAAGGUUCACCUAGGCGACGAUCUCUAGCUGGUCUGUGAGGAUGAUCAGCCGCACUGGAACGGAGACGCGGCCCGGACACCUAGGGAGGCAGCAGUGGGGAAGAUUGCACAAUGGGCGCAAGCCGGAUGCAGCCAUGCCGCGUGUAUGAAGAAGGCCUUAGGGUUGUAGAGUACUUUCAGCGGGAAGGCGGUACCCGCAGAAGAAGCACCGGCUAACUCCGUGCCAGCAGCCGCGGUAAUAC